rnacentral:rRNA from 1 species
UGACAUUAUGAAUUAUUAAUAUUUGUGAAUUUACCACAGCAAACAAAAAUCAUACAAUCAAAACAAAAAUAAUUAAAACUUUUAACAAUGGAUCUCUUGGUUCUCGUAUCGAUGAAGAACGCAGCGAAACGCGAUAUUUCUUGUGAAUUGCAGAAGUGAAUCAUCAGUUUUUGAACGCACAUUGCACUUUGGGGUAUCCCCCAAAGUAUACUUGUUUGAGCGUUGUUUCUCUCUUGGAAUUGCUUUGCUCUUCUAAAAUUUCGAAUCAAAUUCGUUUGAAAAACAACACUAUUCAACCUCAGAUCAAGUAGGAUUACCCGCUGAACUUAAGCAUAUCAAUAAGCGGAGGGAAAAAACCAACCCGUGGG